rnacentral:rRNA from 1 species
GAGCACGUAGGUGGGUUUGUCGCGUCUGCUGUGAAAUCCCGAGGCUCAACCUCGGGUCUGCAGUGGGUACGGGCAGACUAGAGUGCGGUAGGGGAGAUUGGAAUUCCUGGUGUAGCGGUGGAAUGCGCAGAUAUCAGGAGGAACACCGAUGGCGAAGGCAGAUCUCUGGGCCGUUACUGACGCUGAGGAGCGAAAGGGUGGGGAGCAAACAGGCUUAGAUACCCUGGUAGUCCACCCCGUAAACUUUGGGAACUAGUUGUGGGGUCCAUUCCACGGAUUCCGUGACGCAGCUAACGCAUUAAGUUCCCCGCCUGGGGAGUACGGCCGCAAGGCUAAAACUCAAAGGAAUUGACGGGGACCCGCACAAGCGGCGGAGCAUGCGGAUUAAUUCGAUGCAACGCGAAGAACCUUACCAAGGCUUGACAUAUACGAGAACGGGCCAGAAAUGGUCAACUCUUUGGACACUCGUAAACAGGUGGUGCAUGGUUGUCGUCAGCUCGUGUCGUGAGAUGUUGGGUUAAGUCCUGCAACGAGCGCAACCCUCGUUCUAUGUUGCCAGCACGUAAUGGUGGGAACUCAUGGGAUACUGCCGGGGUCAACUCGGAGGAAGGUGGGGAUGACGUCAAAUCAUCAUGCCCCUUAUGUCUUGGGCUUCACGCAUGCUACAAUGGCCGGUACAAAGGGCUGCAAUACUCGAGAGGUGAAGCGAAGUC